rnacentral:rRNA from 1 species
UACGUAGGGUGCAAGCGUUAAUCGGAAUUACUGGGCGUAAAGCGUGCGCAGGCGGCUUUGCAAGACAGAUGUGAAAUCCCCGGGCUCAACCUGGGAACUGCAUUUGUGACUGCAAGGCUAGAGUACGGUAGAGGGGAUGGAAUUCCGCGUGUAGCAGUGAAAUGCGUAGAUAUGCGGAGGAACACCGAUGGCGAAGGCAAUCCCCUGGACCUGUACUGACGCUCAUGCACGAAAGCGUGGGGAGCAAACAGG